GGGCUUUCAGCAUGGAAGAUGGUUGGAUAUCUGUACUGUUUCAUAGAUAUAGCAGUGAUGAUUUUGAAGGUCUGAAAGACAUCAGUGGUAAUCUACUUGAAAGUUUCCUGUUAAAACAUACAGCUUAAUAUUUUUUAACUUAUUCCAUCUUCUGUCAUGUGGAUCACAUUCUUACUAUGCAGAACAGGCUUCAGUUGUCACAGUGUCAUCUUUCUUGAUUUUUAGGACUGUGUAGAUGGCUGCCAACAAGCUUCAAUCAUGCACAGAGGAAAACAGCAAGGACUAGGCUGAGUGGAUUCAGAAGAGUACUGUCUCACAUCAGAUGAAGACAGAAUCAUGUGAAAGUCUGUCUCUACAUCAUGCAGGCUUCACACUUUUCCUGAGGCCUCUGGGCUCCUGUCCAGGCCACAAUACUUCACAAUUGACUUUGAUUUUCUGAGGUAAGUGAUCUGUCGCUUUCUGAGCAGUUAUAGGAGGGGUCAGGAGUGAGGUGGCAUGGUAUGGCCUCACUCUGGCUCCUGCCUCCCUGACAUUGUACACGCUAAUGCAAUGUGAAGUAGCACGUCUAAAUAGCCUGUCAAACUUUUUUGAUGUUAGCAAACCCACAGAUGGGAUUCAUUUCCACGCUGUUCAAAAAACGUAAACGAUACAAGGACAUUAAAGAGCAUUAAACUACUUGAUGACAUUUUGGUCACAUUAAUGAAAAGUGGCGUUUAUAAACUACUACAAAAAGAUGAGGGGGGGGGGGGGAAGAGGGCAGAGAGAGAAUAGAAAGAGAAAGGGAAGGAGAAGUGAGGAGGGAAAAAGGAAUUAAAAUCAAUUUUAAAAACCCCAGAAGGAGCUGAAUAGUCUCUGGACACCAUCAAAGAAAUUAGGGCCUUAAACCCCAGAGUGAACUUUUCCCUAUAUGCAUGCACGUGUGCCUGUGCUAACACUUGGGUGAAAAGACCCAAAAUGGCCAGGGAUUCC
rnacentral:lncRNA from 1 species